UACGUAGGUGGCAAGCGUUGUCCGGAUUUAUUGGGUUUAAAGGGUGCGUAGGCGGCCCUAUAAGUCAGUGCUGAAAUAUCCCGGCUUAACCGGGAGGGUGGCAUUGAUACUGCGGGGCUAGAGUACAGAUGAGGUAGGCGGAAUUGACGGUGUAGCGGUGAAAUGCUUAGAUAUCGUCAAGAACACCUAUAGCGAAGGCAGCUUACUAGGCUGUAACUGACGCUGAGGCACGAAAGUGUGGGGAUCAAACAGG
rnacentral:rRNA from 1 species